rnacentral:rRNA from 1 species
UACGUAGGCAGCGAGCGUUGUUCGGAGUUACUGGGCGUAAAGGGUGUGUAGGCGGUUGUCUAAGUUUGGUGUGAAAUCUCCCGGCUCAACUGGGAGGGUGCGCCGAAAACUGGAUGACUCGAGUGCGGGAUAGGAGAGUGGAAUUCCUGGUGUAGCGGUGAAAUGCGUAGAUAUCAGGAGGAACACCGGUGGUGUAGACGGCUCUCUGGACCGUAACUGACGCUGAGACACGAAAGCGUGGGUAGCAAACAGG